rnacentral:tRNA from 1 species
UCCUUGGUAGUCCAGUGGUUAAGACUCUACAUUCCCAAUGCAGGGGUUUCAGAUUCAAUCCCUGGUCAGAGAA